rnacentral:rRNA from 1 species
UGGGGAAUAUUGGACAAUGGACCAAAAGUCUGAUCCAGCAAUUCUGUGUGCACGAUGACGUUUUUCGGAAUGUAAAGUGCUUUCAGUUGGGAAGAAAAAAAUGACGGUACCAACAGAAGAAGUGACGGCUAAAUACGUGCCAGCAGCCGCGGUAAUACGUAUGUCACAAGCGUUAUCCGGAUUUAUUGGGCGUAAAGCGCGUCUAGGUGGUUAUGUAAGUCUGAUGUGAAAAUGCAGGGCUCAACUCUGUAUUGCGUUGGAAACUGCACGACUAGAGUACUGGAGAGGUAAGCGGAACUACAAGUGUAGAGGUGAAAUUCGUAGAUAUUUGUAGGAAUGCCGAUGGGGAAGCCAGCUUACUGGACAGAUACUGACGCUAAAGCGCGAAAGCGUGGGUAGCAAACAGGAUUAGAUACCCUGGUAGUCCACGCCGUAAACGAUGAUUACUAGGUGUUGGGGGUCGAACCUCAGCGCCCAAGCUAACGCGAUAAGUAAUCCGCCUGGGGAGUACGUACGCAAGUAUG